rnacentral:rRNA from 1 species
AUGUUGGAGGACUGCUUGCCUCAUAUUGAAUUUGCUUUUAAUCGUUCAUUGCAUUCUACUACUAAGAUGUGCCCUUUUGAAGUUGUGUAUGGUUUCCUACCUCGUGCACCUAUUGAUUUGUUGCCUCUUCCAUCUUCGGAGAAGGUUAAUUUUGAUGCUAAACAACGUGCUGAAUUGAUUUUAAAAAUGCAUGAGUUAACCAAGGAAAACAUUGAGCGUAUGAAUGCUAAAUAUAAACUUGCUGGAGAUAAGGGUAGAAAACAUGUUGUGUUUGCACCUGGAGAUCUUGUUUGGUUACAUUUGCGUAAGGAUAGAUUUCCUGAUUUGCGCAAAUCAAAGCUAAUGCCACGUGCUGAUGGUCCCUUUAAGGUGUUAGAGAAAAUAAAUGAUAAUGCAUAUAAACUUGAGCUGCCUGCAGAUUUUGGGGUUAGUCCCACUUUUAACAUUGCAGAUUUGAAGCCUUAUUUGGGUGAGGAAGAUGAACUUCCGUCGAGGACGACUUCAUUUCAAGAAGGGGAGGAUGAUGAGGACAUCAAUACAAUUGUUACACCCACAGCCCCUGCUGCUAUACAUACUGGACCAAUUACUAGAGCUCGUGCACGCCAACUAAAUUACCAGGAAACAGACCCUCGUGGUCAGGUUGAUCGUGCUCCGGCGUGGUCAAUAACCUCUCGGAGUUGGUUUAGCGAUUGCUAA